rnacentral:rRNA from 1 species
GAUGAACGCUGGCGGCGUGCCUAAUACAUGCAAGUCGAGCGAACAGACGAGGAGCUUGCUCCUCUGACGUUAGCGGCGGACGGGUGAGUAACACGUGGAUAACCUACCUAUAAGACUGGGAUAACUUCGGGAAACCGGAGCUAAUACCGGAUAAUAUAUUGAACCGCAUGGUUCAAUAGUGAAAGACGGUUUUGCUGUCACUUAUAGAUGGAUCCGCGCCGCAUUAGCUAGUUGGUAAGGUAACGGCUUACCAAGGCGACGAUGCGUAGCCGACCUGAGAGGGUGAUCGGCCACACUGGAACUGAGACACGGUCCAGACUCCUACGGGAGGCCGCAGUAGGGAAUCUUCCGCAAUGGGCGAAAGCCUGACGGAGCAACGCCGCGUGAGUGAUGAAGGUCUUCGGAUUGUAAAACUCUGUUAUUAGGGAAGAACAAAUGUGUAAGUAACUAUGCACGUCUUGACGGUACCUAAUCAGAAAGCCACGGCUAACUACGUG